rnacentral:lncRNA from 1 species
UACCCCUCCAUAUAUGCAUAUCACCUCACAUCUGUUGUGGUGUUUGACCUUCAUGACAACUUUGUGAGCAUUACCAUCUAGCAUGAGACUGGUUCUCCAGAUGAAGCGGAGAUUGAAAUGUCACACCAGCAUGAUCCAUUCGAUGGUGUAGAAUAGAGGCGUUUGCUACCUGACCUUAAUGCACAGAUGUGGAAAACCAGCAGAAGGUUCAGAGGAAAGCCAUGGAAACGAUGAGGGACUAGGAAAAUGAAAUGCAGACAUGAGUCCUGGACAGAUAUCUGGGCUGUAUUUACAUCUGCAAGGAAUAUUUUGCCUGAGAGAUUUGUUCUGAGAUAACACAGCGUGUUGGAUCUCCUGGAUAUUUAUGAGUCUUGGCUUUCAUCACUUUGUGUUGAAUGUGAAUCAUUUGCCUGUGAACGGAACUUCGCAGUAACCUCCCGCUCAUGGUGAUUAGAACUUUCUGCUACAGUUGGCUCUAGCCAGCUCAUGAAAAGUCGAAAUUUCAAGCUAGAUGGGCCUUUGGGAUCAUCCAGACCAAACUUUUAGUUCAUAUAUGGGGAGAAGUUGGCCCCGGAUGCUCAGAGGGAUUUCCAAGGUCCCUGCAUUACUAUUAGGGGCAGGAUGUGGACUAGAAGUCUGUUCUUCUGGCUCAUUCUGCUUCCUGACACAUGAUGUGCUGAGGAGUCACCCAGAAGUCAGCCUGCUUGCUUCAUUUGCAUUCUGGAUGCUGGAAACAAAGUUGAACCAUGUGGGACUUGGGGAGUCCAGAUAGUAGGAAGUGCAGUUAGUGGAGUAGAAUGUGGAGCAAAUCAACAAUAAAAUAUAGGUUUAAACUGAGGAAUAUCUUACAUUUGUGUAGCAUUUGAAAAGAUUAUUUUUUUCUGCUUAUAAAAAUAACACACGCUUAAUUUAGUAAUUUUUUUGAAGCAUAAAAGAAGAAAAUUAAAAUUACUCAACUGUCUUGUCAAGAAAUGAUCAAGAUUAAUAUUUUGGAAUUACAUACACAUAUGUAAAAUCAAAUCAGAUCACAUUGCAUAUGUAAUUUUGUAUCCUAGUUUUUUCAUUUAAUGUUAUAUGCUGAGCACUUUCCUAUGUCAUUGAAUGUUCUGCAAAAAUAUGAUUUUUUUUUGGUGAGGAAGAUUGGCCCUGAGCUAAUGUCUGUUGCCAAUCUUCCUCUUUUUGCUUGAGAAAGAUUGAGGCUGAGCUAACAUCUGUGCCUAUCUUCGUCUAUUUUAUGUGAGACACUGCUACAGCGUGGCUUGAUGAGUGGUGCUAGGGCUGCACCCGGGAUCUGAACCUGCAAACCCCAGGCUGCUGAAGAAGAGCAAGUGAACUUAACCACUACUUCAAGCAGGCCAGCUCCCCAAAAUAAGAUUUUUAAAUGGAUAAGUAAUAUUCUCAGAUUGUUCUUUCUGAUUUUUAUUCUUCUAUAAAAUGAACUAUUAGAACUGGACAAUGUGGAAAAAAUCCUGGUGCAGAAAUAGAAUAAAGGGGUGCUAAGGUUUGGUGCUAGGAUCUGAGGUGUCAGCAUGGAAUGAAUGGUGACAACAGUUAAAAGCUGUCUGUCCUCUAUAAGAAGCAACUUGGGGUCAUUUAGAGGCAGGUGACAGAAGUCAAUUCAAAGACACACUUAAGACAAUGCAAUAGUUUCUUAUUUUGUCCUCUUUGUCAGGAUAAAUUUAUAAUGCAAAGCACUGUUUAGGCCACAGACUGGUCACUGAGGCUGCCACGAAAUAAAGCCCUCAACUCGGGAUGGAGUGGCUCAGAUGCGUAGCCGACUCUUCGGAAUUGAGGCAUUGAUUAUCCAGCUCACUUUGUUCCCCUUCUACACACGGCCUUUAGACCAUGUCCCUGCUUCUUCCUCUUCCACCAGAAGCAGGGCAAUUAAAGGAGGAAGAGGUAAAAUUUAAAACAGUCCAUUUGUUUCAGGUUAAUCAGUUUUGCUAAAAGAUGUGAUGAAGAACGAGGUAAAGUAUUGGAAGUGCUUGCCUUCUUUUACGUCAUGUGUCCCUGUUGCCAUAGAUAAUUGAGACCUUGCAGCUAACAUAACCUCAAAGGUGAAAGUCAAAACCGGUGUCAAGGCUGGUCUAUCA